ACAAGCAGCCCUGAACAAGCACCCACCACGGGGUCCUGCGCACGUGGCCAGGAUGGAAGGCUGGAGGAACGCGGUGGUCACCCAGGACCCACCCAGCUCGCGGGGCUCUGCCGCAGCAUGAUCGCGUGUGGGUCUCCCAGGAGCCCUGUGAGCUGAGACGGAAAGAAGGAAGGACGGCAGGAAGGGAAGCUUCUCUGCGUCUGGCUCCAGCUGUCCUCUUUCACAUGUGCUGUCUGCUUAAACUUCCCGACGCCGCGCGGUAAGGAGGUAUCUUCGCCUCCGCUUGCACAGAGAAGCAAGCCCCGGCCCAGAUGACGUCAGAGGAGGGACUGACACAAGGUGUCAUCAACACAACAGCAUCCUCAUCUCCAGGCGCUGUCCUUGGAGCAGCCUCCGGGAGCAGGCAAGUUGGACCAGUGCCAGGCAGGAGGACAGGUACUGCCUGUGGCCCCCGAGCUGAACCCCACCUGCUGAGACAUGGCCUCCGUCACAACCUCGGCCACUGCCGGUGAACAGGGCCAUCUUGCAGCAAACCUUCCCCCUGCUGAAUGAAGCCCAUUGCCGGGGCCUCUGGUCCUGCCAAGGAAAGAGCUGGUUUACAUCUCCCUGACUGGACCCCGAGCACCUGGAGGACAGAGACUGUGUCUCAUUUGGCAUUUAUUGUGUGCAGCACACGGCACAGGAACACGACAGAGAUUUCAGAAGACAAGUUUGUUGGUGGUGUGGAUUUUUUCUCUGCCUGUGAGUGCUUUGCAUGGUAAGGAGCAGGAAUAAGACUGGAAGAAAUCAUGACUAAACAUACCCAGAAAAGUGCAUUCCGGAAGGAGAACUCCCUUGCUUGAGAGCGUUGGCAAUCCUAAAUAAACAAAAAUGCAACAUUUAGAAACAGCUCAUCUGGUGUUUCACGUCUCAUCUGCUGCCCAGUUGGUCUGAGAAUGUGGCCCAAAAGAUGGCUUAGAUGAUCUAUGACCAAGUGAUCCAACCCCGGACAAAAGAUUCAUUAAUUUGCUACAGAGAAAAUGUGGCCCACAGAGUCAAAAUUAAAAAAAAAAAAAAAAAAAAAAAAAAUUUAAAAGUUCUGUUUUCAAUUUGGAAUUUGAGCUAUCCUGACAUUGGCCAAAGUGUGGUGGAAAGGCAAGUCUUUUAUAUCCUUGAGUUGUUUUGACAUAGCCAGGGACACUUGGAGGAUAAGAUUCAACAAAUGUGGGCGCCUGGGUGGCUCAGUGGGUUAAGCCGCUGCCUUCGGCUCAGGUCAUGAUCUCAGGGUCCUGGGAUCGAGUCCCGCAUCGGGCUCUCUGCUCAGCAGGGAGUCUGCUUCCUCCUCUCUCUCUCUGCCUGCCUCUCUGCCUACUUGUAAUCUC